ensembl:snoRNA Small nucleolar RNA SNORD11B
GGACAGUGGUGAUGAUGACGACUUUUGUCUUUACCCUGAAAUUAACCAUGUGGGUUUUUAGUCACUACCUCAUCUGAACUGUCC